rnacentral:rRNA from 1 species
AGCAGCCGCGGUAAUUCCAGCUCCAAUAGCGUAUAUUAAAGUUGUUGCAGUUAAAAAGCUCGUAGUUGAAUUUCGGGAUUAGUACGUUGGUCGUGCCUUCGGUACGUACUGGUGUUACUGGUUCCUACCUUCUGACGAACCAUCAUGUCAUUAAUUUGGUGUGGCGGGGAAUCAGGACUGUUACUUUGAAAAAAUUAGAGUGUUUAAAGCAGGCUCGCGCUUGAAUACAUUAGCAUGGAAUAAUGGAAUAGGACGUUGACCCUAUUUUGUUGGUUUCUAGGAUUGACGUAAUGAUUAAUAGGGAUAGUUGGGGGCAUUAGUAUUCAAUUGUCAGAGGUGAAAUUCUUGGAUUUAUUGAAGACUAACUACUGCGAAAGCAUUUGCCAAGGAUGUUUUCAUUAAUCAAGAACGAAAGUUAGGGGAUCGAAGACGAUCAGAUACCGUCGUAGUCUUAACCAUAAACUAUGCCGACUAGGGAUCGGAUGAUGUUAUUUUUAAUGACUCAUUCGGCGCCUUACG